GAACAACUGUAAUAAUCAUCAUGGCUUUGGUGUGGCUGCAAGCAGCAGUUGUUGACGGGUGCGGUUCGCAAAGUGGUGAUUGUAGUGUAAUAAAAGCAUGUUGCGAAGGUUUGACAUGCGUGAAACUGCCUAGGGACGAAUCUAAAGGUAAAUGCGCGGACAACGAUUGCCUCCGCAAGUAUUGGCCUGCAGGUGUCAAGGAAUGCUUGUAACGUGAAAGGAGAUUACCAAUCAGGGGCUCGAAUUGAUGAGGACUUCAGAGUGUUUCAGGGAUACAAGCUGUAAGGACAACGGUUAAAUGCCGAGUGGAUUGUCCUACAAAAUUCUCAACCUAUAAUUAUUGUUCCACUGAAGAUUGAUCAAAACAGCUAAAAGUGCAUCUUGCUCAAAGUACAAAAGAAAUGCUGCCUUAUCUCCAUAUCACCCUGUUGUGGCAAGAGGUUAAAAUUAGGAGUCAAUCUCCAAAAGAACACAUUAUCUGUUGUGAAGGCAAUGAAACGAAGAACAUCUAUAAUCAUCAUGGCUUUGGUGUGGCUGCAAGCAGCAGUUGUUGACGGGUGCAAUCCGGCAGGUGGCCAUUGUUCUUUGAUAAAACCAUGUUGCGAAGGUUUGUCAUGCUUUGAAAUUCCUGGGGACCAAUUUAGUUCUAGAUGUGCGGACAACAGUUGCAUCCACAAGAAAGGUUCUCGACGUCGCAAGGAAUGCAUAAUGCGUUCAUGACGUAACGUAAAAGAAGAUUAUCAAUCAUGGGCUAGACUUGAUGAGGACUUCAGAGUGUUUCCGGGAUACAAGCUGUAAGGACAACAGUUAAAUGCCGAGUGGAUUGUCCUAAAAAAUUCUCAAUCUAUAAUUAUUGUUGUACUGACAAUUGAUCAGUAAAGUGAAAGUUAAUC
rnacentral:lncRNA from 1 species